rnacentral:rRNA from 1 species
UACAGAGGGUGCAAACGUUGUUCGGAUUUACUGGGCGUAAAGCGCGUGUAGGCUGCUUCGCAAGUCGGAUGUGAAAGCCCUGGGCUCAACCCAGGAAGUGCAUUCGAAACUGCAGAGCUGGAGUCCUGGAGAGGAAGGCGGAAUUCUCGGUGUAGAGGUGAAAUUCGUAGAUAUCGAGAGGAACACCGGUGGCGAAGGCGGCCUUCGUGGACA